UAAUUAUAAUCCACAUAAUCCCACUUCCUGUUGCUGCGGGAUUAUUUUCAUUUUACCCCGACUCAAUAUUUUCUAAUGGAGGUUCUGAAAAACUGAUAUGCUCCAUUUUGUAGUUAAAUUCGAGACUCCAGUCUUCAAUUGACUUGGUUUAUUGGCGACAUGCCAAGGCGAGAUGGGCAAAAUCACAGAAGUUGUUUUUUUUUUGUGCAGAAACUCUUAUAGGUUGAGUCCAAACAAAAUGGCCGACAUUGACAUGUUGUCCUGACUCUUUGAAAAUGCUGUUUUUCCUCUGAUGGGAAUGUCGAUCUGCCUGAGUUUUCUCACACUGGAUUAAUAGUUGGCUGGUCUCUUCCCGUCCCUCUCCUGCCCCCCGGCUGUGCAGUGUUGAAUGUGUUCUGGAGAGUGGGUGUUAAAUUCACUGGAUGAAUCCUGUUUUUCCACAGAUUCGCUACAUUUACUGCCAGAACCCGAUCCGUCGAGGACUCCUUGACCGGACAUUUUGGCUAACUCGUCAGAUGGAAGCUCUUUAAAAUAAUGUGCUGAGUUAUACUAACCUCUCUGAGAAACUGGCCUCUCCCAGGGCUCCUGGACAACCAUGUUGGCUCGCUCCACAGAUGAAGGCUUUCAGAUGUUCUGGCUUACACUGCCCUGAGAAACAGACAGAAGCCAGACAUGGGGUUUUGUCUUUGAGUGGUCUGUCCUCACCUUACCGGAAACAGCAAUGGUUUGACUCACUCCACCUAUAGAUGUGCUUGGUACAGUGGACAGAAGCCAGACACGGGUUCUCGAUCUUCGCUUGCUUUUCAAAACCCAUUUGCUGAGAAGUGGGAAAGGGACCUCCUGACUUUCUCAUCCGAUAAUGAGUUUUGAGAAGGAGGCUAGGAGAGAGGACGUGAGGAAUCAAGGAAAUAGCAAUUGUGAUAAUCCAACAGUGAGAGUUGUGACAGAGGUUGAUAGUUCUGCCUCAGCGAUCUUCACUUGUGGUCUGUGGGAGAGUGUAGAGUUAAUCAUUUUACUACCAGAAAUAAGACAUGUAUUGUACUAUUCUAAAGUGUGUAAUGGGAACUGAGAGUCAUUUUGCGUCUUGUGUGUGUGUGUGUGUGUGUGUGUGUGUGUGAGGUAUCUCUCUGGGGAACACAGACUUUGCCAGUUUGCUGAAACAUCUGACCAUGGCUGUUUUCUCUCUCUGUCCAAAUAUAAUCAUGUAUGGUUUAGCUCUAUUAUAAACCAUUGGUACAUUUGAUCCUGUCGUUCUAACCACGAACACACACACACACGCUCGGGCAUGAAGGGCAUGUUUGUCUGUUAAUGUUCCCCAUGCUGUUCCCCACACCCAGCUCAACCCUGAUGCUUACAGAUAUGUUGUGUCCACCCAGCUCAUCCCUGAUAGGUCUACUGUUCUGUUGUGUCCACCCAACUCAUCCCUGAUAGGUCUACAGGUCUGUUGUGUCCACCCAGCUCAACACUGAUAGGUCUACAGGUCUGUUGUGUCCACCCAGCUCAUCCCUGAUAGGUCUACAGGUCUGUUCUGUCCACCCAGCUCAUCCCUGAUAGGUCUACUGGUCUGUUGUGUCCACCCAACUCAUCCCUGAUAGGUCUACUGGUCUGUGUCCACCCAGCUCAUCCCUGAUAGGUCUACUGGUCUGUUGUGUCCACCCAGCUCAACCCUGAUAGGUCUACUGGUCUGUUGUGUCCACCCAGCUCAACCCUGAUAGGUCUACUGGUCUGUUGUGUCCACCCAGCUCAACCCUGAUAGGUCUACUGGUCUGUUGUGUCCACCCAGCUCAACCCUGAUAGGUCUACUGGUCUGUUGUGUCCACCCAGCUCAACCCUGAUAGGUCUACUGGUCUGUUGUGUCUACCCAGCUCAUCCCUGAUGGGUCUACUGGUCUGUUGUGUCCACCCAGCUCAACCCUGAUAGGUCUACUGGUCUGUUGUGUCCACCCAGCUCAACCCUGAUAGGUCUACUGGUCUGUUGUGUCCACCCAGCUCAUCCCUGAUAGGUCUACUGGUCUGUUGUGUCCACCCAGCUCAUCCCUGAUAGGUCUACAGGUCUGUUGUGUCCACCCAGCUCAUCCCUGAUAGGUCUACUGGUCUGUUGUGUCCACCCAGCUCAACCCUGAUAGGUCUACUGGUCUGUUGUGUCCACCCAGCUCAACCCUGAUAGGUCUACUGGUCUGUUGUGUCCACCCAGCUCAUCCCUGAUAGGUCUACUGGUCUGUUGUGUCCACCCAGCUCAUCCCUGAUAGGUCUACAGGUCUGUUGUGUCCACCCAGCUCAUCCCUGAUAGGUCUACUGGUCUGUUGUGUCCACCCAGCUCAUCCCUGAUAGGUCUACUGGUCUGUUGUGUCCACCCAGCUCAUCCCUGAUAGGUCUACUGGUCUGUUGUGUCCACCCAGCUCAACCCUGAUAGGUCUACUGGUCUGUUGUGUCCACCCAGCUCAACCCUGAUAGGUCUACUGGUCUGUUGUGUCCACCCAGCUCAUCCCUGAUAGGUCUACUGGUCUGUUGUGUCCACCCAGCUCAUCCCUGAUAGGUCUACUGGUCUGUUGUGUCCACCCAACUCAUCCCUGAUAGGUCUACUGGUCUGUUGUGUCCACCCAGCUCAACCCUGAUUGGUCUACAGGUCUGUUGUGUCCACCCAGCUCAACCCUGAUAGGUCUACAGGUCUGUUGUGUCCACCCAGCUCAACCCUGAUAGAUCUACAGGUCUGUUGUGUCCACCCAGCUCAACCCUGAUAGGUCUACAGGUAUGUUGUGUCCACCCAGCUCAACCCUGAUAGGUCUGUUAGAGUUCUUUCCAUCCAUGGAUUAGCUGGUGUUUUAUUGUGGGUAUCAUCUCAUCCAGACACGCUGCCAAAGCCCUGAAACUCUGUCGUUACUGAAGUGAAACCAGCUGUGUCUGCACCAUGUCUGGAGAUUCUCUCUUCUUUCUCUCUUCCCCUGACUCGUCCAGAACAGCAUGUGUCAAUUCUCUCCCCCUGCUCCUCGACUCUCCCAUGACUCCCCCGGUUCUCUGUCCGAGGAAUCAGCUGAGGUGUAAAUCAAUAUAGGGAGGUAGCAGUGGUCACCAUGGGAACAUCCCAUGAUUCUCAUAAACUUCCUCCAGCCGGGAUUCGUCAUGGCAUUGGGACGGACACACACACACACAGUGGUCUAAAAUCACUUGUGAUACCGCUUAUCCUAACCACUUGAGAGGUGUAGUUCCAGCAGACGUCCUGAACCAUGUUCUUCAACUAGUUCUCCACAAAGAGAACAUACUUGUUCUGCCAAUUCGUUUUACUGACAUAGUUUCUUGUUGCUGCUCCUACUCAUAACAUAAACAGACCCAACCUGGCAAACACAGUGUUGGUGAACAGCCACAGCCCAAAGGGAAGGGAUUGCUUCCUCAUCUUCAACCAAACAACCCUUGGCCUUCAUGUCCUGAAAUAGCCGUUGACUCCAGCUGGUGCCUGUAUGGCGAGGAAGGAAUGAAACUGGCAGCAACACAUGCUGACUAAGGU